rnacentral:rRNA from 1 species
UGAGGAACAUGACCUUCGGCGGGGGAUAGCCGGCCCAACGGCCGGGUAAUACCGCGUACGACCACAUGGGGACAUCCCUGAGUGGUGAAAGCAGCAAUGCGCCGAUGGAGUGCCUCGCGGCCUAUCAGCUUGUUGGUGGGGUGAUGGCCUACCAAGGCGACGACGGGUAGCCGGCCUGAGAGGGCGUCCGGCCACACUGGGACUGAGACACGGUCCAGACUCCUACGGGAGNAG